rnacentral:rRNA from 1 species
AGAGUUUGAUCCUGGCUCAGGAUGAACGCUAGCGACAGGCUUAACACAUGCAAGUCGAGGGGCAGCAAUUUGUAGCAAUACAAAGUUGGCGACCGGCGCACGGGUGAGUAACGCGUAUGCAACCUACCUACAACAGAAGAAUAAUCCGGCGAAAGUCGGUCUAAUACUUCAUAAAACAGGGACACCGCAUGGUGUUAUUUGUUAAAGAUUUAUCGGUUGUAGAUGGGCAUGCGUACCAUUAGGUAGUUGGUGAGGUAACGGCCCACCAAGCCUACGAUGGUUAGGGGUUCUGAGAGGAAAGUCCCCCACACUGGUACUGAGACACGGACCAGACUCCUACGGGAGGCAGCAGUGAGGAAUAUUGGUCAAUGGGCGAGAGCCUGAACCAGCCAAGUCGCGUGAAGGAUGACUGUCUUAUGGAUUGUAAACUUCUUUUGUAGGGGAAUAAAGAACGGCACGUGUGCCUUAGUGAAUGUACCCUACGAAUAAGCAUCGGCUAACUCCGUGCCAGCAGCCGCGGUAAUACGGAGGAUGCGAGCGUUAUCCGGAUUUAUUGGGUUUAAAGGGUGCGUAGGCGGCCUGUUAAGUCAGCGGUGAAAUCUAGGAGCUUAACUCCUAAAUUGCCAUUGAUACUGGCGGGCUUGAGUGUAGAUGAGGUAGGCGGAAUGCGUGGUGUAGCGGUGGAAUGCAUAGAUAUCACGCAGAACUCCGAUUGCGAAGGCAGCUUACUAAGGUACAACUGACGCUGAAGCACGAAAGCGUGGGUAUCAAACAGGAUUAGAUACCCUGGUAGUCCACGCAGUAAACGAUGAUAACUGGGCGUAUGCGAUAUACAGUAUGCUCCUAAGCGAAAGCGUUAAGUUAUCCACCUGGGGAGUACGCCGGCAACGGUGAAACUCAAAGGAAUUGACGGGGGCCC